AUUGAGAGCUUGCUUUUGAUUAUUUUAGCGGCGGACGGGUGAGUAACGUGUGGGUAACCUGCCUUUUACUGGGGAAUAAUCGUUGGAAACGACGACUAAUACCGCAUACGGUUCUUGGAAGGCAUCUUCUAAGAAAGAAAGGAUUUAUUCGGUAAAAGAUGGGCCCGCAUCUGAUUAGCUAGUUGGUGAGAUAAUAGCCCACCAAGGCAACGAUCAGUAGCCGACCUGAGAGGGUGACCGGCCACAUUGGGACUGAGACACGGCCCAAACUCCUACGGGAGGCAGCAGUGGGGAAUAUUGCACAAUGGGCGAAAGCCUGAUGCAGCAACGCCGCGUGAAGGAAGACGGUUUUCGGAUUGUAAACUUCUAUCAAUAGGGAAGAAAGAAAUGACGGUACCUAAAUAAGAAGCCCCGGCUAACUACGUGCCAGCAGCCGCGGUAAUACGUAGGGGGCAAGCGUUAUCCGGAAUUACUGGGUGUAAAGGGAGAGUAGGCGGCAAGGUAAGCGAUAUGUGAAAGCCUUAGGCUUAACUUAAGGAUUGCAUAACGAACUAUCUAGCUAGAGUACAGGAGAGGAAAGCGGAAUUCCUAGUGUAGCGGUGAAAUGCGUAGAUAUUAGGAAGAACACCAGUGGCGAAGGCGGCUUUCUGGACUGAAACUGACGCUGAGGCUCGAAAGCGUGGGGAGCGAACAGGAUUAGAUACCCUGGUAGUCCACGCUGUAAACGAUGAGUGCUAGGUGUCGGGGAGGAAUUCCCGGUGCCGGAGCAAACGCAAUAAGCACUCCACCUGGGG
rnacentral:rRNA from 1 species